rnacentral:tRNA from 1 species
GUGCCAGUAGCUCAGCUGGAUAGAGCAACGGCCUCCUAAGCCGUAGGUCGUGGGUUCAAAUCCCGCUUGGCACGCCA